UCACCACUCUGGCCUUUUGGCUUAGAUCAAGUGUAGUAUCUGUUCUUAAUAGUUUAACCACUAUUAUGGAGGCACCGCCUCCAUUA
rfam:Fistulina hepatica ATCC 64428 unplaced genomic scaffold FISHEscaffold_435, whole genome shotgun sequence.